UACGUAGGGUCCGAGCGUUGUCCGGAAUUAUUGGGCGUAAAGAGCUCGUAGGCGGUUUGUCGCGUCUGCUGUGAAAACUGGGGGCUCAACCCCCAGCCUGCAGUGGGUACGGGCAGACUAGAGUGCGGUAGGGGAGAUUGGAAUUCCUGGUGUAGCGGUGAAAUGCGCAGAUAUCAGGAGGAACACCGAUGGCGAAGGCAGGUCUCUGGGCCACUACUGACGCUGAGAAGCGAAAGCAUGGGGGAGCGAACAGG
rnacentral:rRNA from 1 species